rnacentral:rRNA from 1 species
UACGAAGGGGGCUAGCGUUGCUCGGAAUCACUGGGCGUAAAGCGCACGUAGGCGGAUUGUUAAGUCAGGGGUGAAAUCCUGGAGCUCAACUCCAGAACUGCCUUUGAUACUGGCGAUCUUGAGUCCGGGAGAGGUGAGUGGAACUCCGAGUGUAGAGGUGAAAUUCGUAGAUAUUCGGAAGAACACCAGUGCGAAGGCGGCUCACUGGCCCGGUACUGACGCUGAGGUGCGAAAGCGUGGGGAGCAAACAGGG